AUAAUUUUAUUAAUUUAUAAAUCAUUGUUUAUAGAAAAACAGCCUUGUUUUACACAAUAUUUGUAAGUGGAACUAUAAUAGUUUAUUUGUACAAAUAUGUUCAUACUAAAAUAACUUUGUUUAAAAAUCUAAAAACUAACAUAUACAAUAUUGUAAUUUUAAUUAUACAUAAUCUACCUUGGAAAAUGUGAAAAAUUCAAUCGGCUGAGGACGCAAAUUGAAAGAACUUAAGAAAAUUUAAUAGAUAGGGAAUGACAGAUGAUGCGGAAUGUGAGUGUGGAGAGAAAUAAACAGCAAGCCAUCUGCUUAAGUGUAUAUUGGCACCUAGUAGAUGAGUGAUGAAAGACCUCAUUGGACUAAUUGAAUUUACAGACGAAAUGAUGAAAAUCAUUGAAUAUUGGGAAAAAGAAGGAUUGUAAUUUAAUAAGAAAUACUGAUCGGAACGAGAAGAAGAUAUGUGUUAUAAUUAAUAUAUCAAAAACAUUACAUAUCAAAAUAGUGGUU